AACGUAGGAGACAAACGUUAUCCGGAGUUACUGGGCGUAAAGGGCGUGUAGGCGGUUUGUUAAGUCUGGCGUGAAAGCUCUCGGCUAAACCGGGAGAGGUCGUUGGAUACUGGCAGACUAGAGGACGGUAGAGGCGUGUGGAAUUCCGGGUGUAGUGGUGAAAUGCGUAGAGAUCCGGAGGAACACCAGUGGCGAAGGCGACACGCUGGGCCGUACCUGACGCUAAAGCGCGGCAGCAUGGGGAGCAAACGGG
rnacentral:rRNA from 1 species